rnacentral:rRNA from 1 species
UACGAAGGGGGCGAGCGUUGUUCGGAAUUACUGGGCGUAAAGCGCAUGUAGGCGGCAGCGCAAGUCGGGCGUGAAAUCCCACGGCUCAACCGUGGAAGUGCACUCGAAACUGCGCAGCUAGAGUCCUGGAGAGGAAGGUGGAAUGCUUGGUGUAGAGGUGAAGUUCGUAGAUAUCAAGCGGAACACCGGUGGCGAAGGCGGCCUUCUGGACAGUGAC